GGAUAGAGUACAGCAAGUUGUCAUUAAUGGUUAAUUUUCAAACUGUAAAAGAGUGAUAAGUGGUGUCCCUCAUGGUUCUGUUUUGAAGGCGCUUCUAUUUAACAUUCAUAAAUGAUCUUGAAAUAGGGAUUGAAAGCCAUGUUUUAGUGUUUGCAGGUGACAAAAAACAUUGUAAAGUAAUAAAAUGUAAGCAGGAUAUUGCUAUGCUACAGAGGGAUUUAGA